CACAGUCAGACAGUGUCACCUUCUCUUCUUCUCUCAGAGAUCGAAGUCAGUUUCUCUUCUACUCUUCUUCUUCAAUUUGGGCAAUCAAUCAAUUGAAUGCAUUUAGCAGUGGAUUGAAGAUUUUUUUAUGUGCUUUGCUGUGGAAGUGUGGAACACUGGAACUUGCUUACGAAAGGAAGAAAGUGAUGCAGAGAGCUAUAGCUAUCUUGAUGAUGCCGUCGAAGCCUAUUUGGAGAGCAUUGUUUAAAGGCUAAAAUCAACUUGGUAAUUGAGCAAAGCUACUGCUUUCAAGGUAUUCUCUUUCUUUUUCUUUUUUCUUACUGCA